ensembl:snRNA U6 U6 spliceosomal RNA
AUGCUCGCUUCAGCAGUACAUAUACUAAAAUUGGAAUGAUACAGAGGUGAUUAGCAUGGCCCCUGUGCAAAGAUAACAUGCAAGAAGAGCCUUGACCUCAUUGG